rnacentral:rRNA from 1 species
GCACGGGUGAGUAACACGUAUCCAACCUGCCGUCUACUCUUGGACAGCCUUCUGAAAGGAAGAUUAAUACAAGAUGGCAUCAUGAGUCCGCAUGUUCACAUGAUUAAAGGUAUUCCGGUAGACGAUGGGGAUGCGUUCCAUUAGAUAGUAGGCGGGGUAACGGCCCACCUAGUCUUCGAUGGAUAGGGGUUCUGAGAGGAAGGUCCCCCAUAUUGGAACUGAGACACGGUCCAAACUCCUACGGGAGGCAGCAGUGAGGAAUAUUGGUCAAUGGGCGAGAGCCUGAACCAGCCAAGUAGCGUGAAGGAUGACUGCCCUAUGGGUUGUAAACUUCUUUUAUAAAGGAAUAAAGUCGGGUAUGCAUACCCGUUUGCAUGUACUUUAUGAAUAAGGAUCGGCUAACUCCGUGCCAGCAGCCGCGGUAAUACGGAGGAUCCGAGCGUUAUCCGGAUUUAUUGGGUUUAAAGGGAGCGUAGAUGGAUGUUUAAGUCAGUUGUGAAAGUUUGCGGCUCAACCGUAAAAUUGCAGUUGAUACUGGAUAUCUUGAGUGCAGUUGAGGCAGGCGGAAUUCGUGGUGUAGCGGUGAAAUGCUUA